CCUACGGGAGACAGCAGUGAGGAAUAUUGGUCAAUGGGCUUACGCCUGAACCAGCCAAGUCGCGUGAGGGAGGACGGCCCUACGGGUUGUAAACCUCUAUUGCCGGGGAGCAACGGGCGUCACGUGUGGCGCCACUGAGAGUACCCGGAGAAAAAGCAUCGGCUAACUCCGUGCCAGCAGCCGCGGUAAUACGGAGGAUGCGAGCGUUAUCCGGAUUUAUUGGGUUUAAAGGGUGCGUAGGCGGAUCGUUAAGUCAGUGGUCAAAUUGAGGGGCUCAACCCCUUCCCGCCAUUGAAACUGGCGUUCUUGAGUGGAAGAGAAGUAUGCGGAAUGCGUGGUGUAGCGGUGAAAUGCAUAGAUAUCACGCAGAACCCCGAUUGCGAAGGCAGCAUGCCGGCUUCCGACUGACGCUGAAGCACGAAAGCGUGGGGAUCGAACAGGAUUAGAUACCCUAGUAGUC
rnacentral:rRNA from 1 species